rnacentral:misc_RNA from 1 species
AGGGAGUUGAUCUCUAAAGAAACAUUAUUUUGACACCUUCUAAUCAUCUAUAGAGAAUACAUUUUAAAUUUCAAGUCUCUAACCUCUAAAACAUAGGACUUUCCGAAACUAUAACACCUACAAACUUGAAAUUUGGCAAGUAGGCUCCUUAUAAGACGUAGGCAUCCGCUAAGAACGAAUUUUAUGAAACUCGACUCCUAAGGGGAUGAAACGGGGGUUGGAAGUUU